CUGUCUCUCUCUCAAAUAAGUAAAAAUGUUAAAAAAAAAAAAAAAAGUUGUAAGCCAUGCGAUUUACUCACCACUUUUGUCAGAUACCACGGAUUGUGUUGCCCAGUACUCAGUGUGACCCCUUUCUGAUGUGCCUCCUGUACUUAGAGAUGGGAGAGCUAUAAUCUACUUUUCCAAGGUUUCCUUGGCGACGGGCUUCUCUUGUGAUUUAAUAGUCACCAAUCAGAAGCUCUCACAGAAUUUAAUUUGGAACUCAGUUAUGUGGGGAGAGACACAGAGCAUGAGGAGCAAUUUUGCUCAAAUAGAUUAUGGCAGAGAAGGCACAAUGUCAGAGCCGUCCGGUGUGGCAGAGGAUUCCAGAUAAUGUGGCUCCUGAUUGUUGCACAAGGAGCAUGUCCCUGAGUCGCUCACUGUGGUGGAAGCUUCCGGAUAGUGUAGUUUCCUGCUUGUUGCUGGAGGCUGCAGCUUCUCUGCGGGCUCAGUUCUGCAGUGUGGCUGUGGUACACAGACUUCUAAUUUAUUCCAUUUAUCUUUUCUUUCGUGGAGCUACUGGCCUUACACCUGUCCUGACUUCUCCAAGCUCUGGAAAGAAAGGCCAAGAAGCCAUGGGAGGCCGCAUGCUAAGUCACGUGGCUGACUCAACAAGUAGAAGAGUAGCAGUCCUCAGAGUCGUUGUUCAGAAAAUAAAGCAAUAA
rnacentral:lncRNA from 1 species